GAUCCUGGCUCAGGAUGAACGCUAGCGACAGGCUUAACACAUGCAAGUCGAGGGGCAGCACAGGUAGCAAUACCGGGUGGCGACCGGCGCACGGGUGAGUAACGCGUAUGCAACUUGCCUAUCAGAGGGGGACAACCCGGCGAAAGUCGGACUGAUACCGCAUGAAGCAGGGGCCCCGCAUGGGGAUAUUUGCUAAAGAUUUAUCGCUGAUAGAUAGGCAUGCGUUCCAUUAGG
rnacentral:rRNA from 1 species